rnacentral:lncRNA from 1 species
GCACAAUGAAAUUUUUCCAUAAGAGCUCCACUAAAACUUCUCGCACCUCUGACAUUUAUGUAAAAAGGAUACAACAGGUCUCUUGACUUCUUUCCCUUUCCUCCUUAGGGAAGACAUCUUUCAAGUUUCAAGCAAGGGUGCUUUUGCUCCCUGGAAGACGUUUCUUCUCUGCAUCCUUCUUAAGUUACAUGUGACCAUUCCUCUCUCUGAGGCUGUUUUUGUAAGGAUGGUAUGCAGUUGGGUUAGGUUAGGUGAUAUCAAUGUACAGUCAGCCAUUUUCUGUCUAGGCCUUUGUCAAUGAUAACAACCCAAAAUCAUGAACAGAGGUGAUGAUAUAAAAAUCAUGCUCAAUAGGAUUACGCUGAGGCACAAAGAACUGGGUUACAAGCAGUCACUUGACACAUUGGAAACCUCUUUGGUGACUUCAAUGAGGUCCUCAGAUGCCUGUGCCUUCUUUUUCAAGAGAGGAAAUGUGGACAUCUAUGGUGUACAUUGGUUGGCAAAUGCUGCAUGACAACAAGCACCUAGUCCCACAUUCUAACCUUGGGCAUUUCUGAAAGGCCUGCCCAUUGCUCAUGACCCUGUCCUUUCUGGUGUUUUGCAAUCAUCUGACAUGCCACCUUGUAAGGCAGAGAAACACAGAUAUCAGAGGCUCAGUCCAUUAUCAUCAUGCCAAGAAGCAUGGCAGUGUCCUGGUGCAGAAGAAAGAGCCAAGAAUUCUCCAUCUUGAACUGAAGGCACAGACAGGAAGAAUGUCUCUUCCACACUGGGAGGAGCUUGAGCACCAGCAGCCCUCAAAGCCUGCCUACACAAUGAUAUACUUCUUCCAACAAGACAGAUCUGAGAGGCUUUACCCAUCAGCUGACUGAGACAGAUGCAGAUACCCACAAAAACGGAACAGAGACAAUAUGGACCUACACUCACUGGGCACUAAAAUUCUCCUCAGACAGGAAAACCAACUGAUCUGAUAAAUGCUCCUAGGAAAAUAGCAAGAUAUAAAGUCAACACAAAAAGGGUUGCAGAGCCCUUCAGCUCCUUGGGUGCUGUCUCUAAAAAUUCAGGUGACAACAGAUGCUGGUGAAGAUGUGGAGAAAGAAGAACACUCCUCCAUUACUGGGGGGAUUGCAAGCUUGUACAACCACUCUGGAAGUAAGUCUGGCGAUUCCUCAGAAAAUUGGACAUAGUACUACCAGAAGAUCCAGCAAUACCUCUCCUGGGCAUACAUAUAUCCAGAUGCAAUUCUUUAGCCCUUUAAAAACUUCUCUACUUCAAAGCAUGAUGUUUCUAUUGAGGUGUAUGCUACAUAUACGAGAGGGCUCUUAUAUAUGGUUUCUUUUGUUUUCAACAUUUUUCUGGUGUGUGUGUGUGUGUGUGUGUGUGUGUGUGUGUGUGUAUGUGUGUGCGCGUGCAUGCGCAGAGGCGCACAUGUAUACCUAUGUGUGUGGCACAAGGCAAUGACUAUGUUCUGGGGCAAAUACAUAGACCAAACCUGGAAUCCCGUGAACUACCUGUACCUGGGUAACUUUCACCUAGUAUAGGAUGUUUAAUGCCAUUAAUUCUUCAGCCUCUUAAACCUUUCUCUUUGUUUUAUCUUGAACACAAACUAUUUGAACCUUUGUCCUAUUGUAACAUUUUGUGCUAUUGAUUCAAGCCAGGGAAUUGGGUAAGCAAAGCAAAUGAGCCAACACCAAGUUAAAAAAAAAAUUCCUUUUUAAUCGUGCUCCACCAAUGCCACAAACUUCCUUCAUUCAUUCUUUAUUUUUCUCUUCUUUCUAUAUAUUUUCAGAUAACUAAUAAUCUAGGUAAGAGUUUUUAUUUUUGACCAAUGUGUUAUUUAAUUGAUGUUUUCAGGUCUAAUAUUUGUUGCUAUUGUUCCAAUCUUUUAACCUUCCAGUCAUGUGUUAUUUGUUUUGAAUCCUCAAUCAUUAUGUUUGAAUAUCAGUUAAAUUUGCAGUUUGGUAAUCUGAUACAUAUUUUUAUUACAUUCGCCUAAUUGCUCAGAUACUUCACACAUUUCCAGUUUUUCCUUAUUAACUAUUUGUUCUUUCCCCCUAUAUUAUAAUGAUUUUGAGCACUCUUUUGACCCUUGUAAUAAUGACUUAGUGUGUACUAAAGUAGAUACUCAUUCCAAGUUUUUUCAGUCUUCCUUUGGAAAAUGCCUGUUCAAAGACCCUGGACAGAGUGCCACAACCUUUGAGCCCAUGACCAACACAGCCUUUGAAACACUAGGGAAUUCUCUCACUCCAACUCUACACUGGCUAGCACAAUGCUGGACUAGAAUCCUGUGGCUAUUGAUACAGGCAGAGAUUUGAGAAGCACUCAAAACCUAGAGGUACUGAUGCUAAAACAGCACUAAAAUAUGCCCAAGUUCCAUUGCCACCAAGCCCCUUGUAGUCAUCCAGUAGUGUGUAAGAGAACACAGACCAAUUCCAUCUGGCAGUUGCUACAUAUUCUUAUGUGAUAUGAGUAAACUGUUGCAGCUCAAAUCACAGGAGGGUCUUGCUUCAGAGGUCAUACUAUUCUGAUCAAUAAAGGUUUUUAUGUCAUGCCUAGUUGGUAUUGGGGUCCAUAGUAAAACUUACAUGCUUAUUUAUCCAAUUCAUUCACUAGCUAUCAAACUGCAUACAUAUACAGUUUUGCUUAUAAAUUAGUUGGUGGAUAUUUUGUAUGUCUUUACAUGGUGACUAUUUUCAAGAGUGUGGCUUUUAAAAGUUGGUAGAAAGACUGCUGGAGAAAUGGCUCAGUGGUUAAGAGUGCCAACCGUUCUGCGCUGGAGAGAUGGAUCAGUGGUUAAGAGCACUGACUGCCCUUCCAGAGGUUCUGAGUUCAAUUCUCAGCAACCACAUGGUGGCUCAUAACCAUCUGUAAUAGGAUCCAGUGCCCUCUUCUGGUAUGUCUGGAGACAACUACAAUAAAUACACCUUUUUUAAAAAGCACAAAAAGAAUUUUUAAAAAAAUGUGGAAAGCUUUUGUUUGAAUACUUCAG